GCGCGAAAACUUUACAAUGCGGGAAACCGUGAUAAGGGGACACCGAGUGCCAGCAUCAUAUGCUGGCUGUCCAGAUGUGUAAAAUACAUCUGUUAGCAAGGGCCGGGCAAGACCGGUGCCAGCCGCCGCGGUAACACCGGCGGCCCGAGUGGUGAUCGUGAUUAUUGGGUCUAAAGGGUCCGUAGCCGGUUUGGUCAGUCCUCCGGGAAAUCUGAUGGCUCAACCAUUAGGCUUUCGGGGGAUACUGCCCAG
rnacentral:rRNA from 1 species